rnacentral:lncRNA from 1 species
GAUGUUGACAACUGGAUAUCAAACUGCGACAGAUGUAUUCGACGAAAGCAACCUGCAAGUCACAGAGCACCUCUCAUUAGCAUCGAGACGACACAACCUCUUAGAGUUAGUAUGUAUGGACUAUCUCUCACUUGAAAGAUCUACAGGUGGAUUUGAGAACAUACUAGUUAUAACAGACCACUUCACUCGAUAUGCCUUGGCAAUACCAACAAGAAACCAGACAGCAAAAACAACUGCAGACGCAUUCUUCAACAACUUUGUCGUCCACUAUGGUUUGCCAGAAAGAAUUCACUCCGAUCAAGGUGCCAACUUUGGAUCCAAAAUCAUUAAGGAAUUAUGCAACAUCACUGGUAUGACUAAGUCAAGAACAACAC